rnacentral:rRNA from 1 species
CUGGUAGUCCACGCCCUAAACGAUGUCAACUAGCUGUUGGGGCCUUCGGGCCUUGGUAGCGCAGCUAACGCGUGAAGUUGACCGCCUGGGGAGUACGGUCGCAAGAUUAAAACUCAAAGGAAUUGACGGGGACCCGCACAAGCGGUGGAUGAUGUGGAUUAAUUCGAUGCAACGCGAAAAACCUUACCUACCCUUGACAUGUCUGGAAUGCCGAAGAGAUUUGGCAGUGCUCGCAAGAGAACCGGAACACAGGUGCUGCAUGGCUGUCGUCAGCUCGUGUCGUGAGAUGUUGGGUUAAGUCCCGCAACGAGCGCAACCCUUGUCAUUAGUUGCUACGAAAGGGCACUCUAAUGAGACUGCCGGUGACAAACCGGAGGAAG